rnacentral:rRNA from 1 species
CGGGUGAGUAACACGUAUGCAACCUGCCUGCCACAGCCGGAUAAUCGGGAGAAAUUCCGUCUAAUACGGCAUAAUGCAUCGACGGGACAUCCUGUUGGUGCCAAAGGUUGAUUCCGGUGGCGGAUGGGCAUGCGUCGCAUUAGUUAGUUGGCGGUGUAACGGACCACCAAGACGACGAUGCGUAGGGGUUCUGAGAGGAAGGUCCCCCACACUGGUACUGAGACGCGGACCAGACUCCUACGGGAGGCAGCAG